rnacentral:rRNA from 1 species
GAUGAACGCUAGCUACAGGCUUAACACAUGCAAGUCGAGGGGAAACGAUAUUGGAAGCUUGCUUCCGAUAGGCGUCGACCGGCGCACGGGUGAGUAACGCGUAUCCAACCUGCCCAUCACUUGGGGAUAACCUUGCGAAAGUAAGACUAAUACCCAAUGAUAUUUAUAGAAGGCAUCCGAAAUGAAUUAAAGAUUUAUCGGUGAUGGAUGGGGAUGCGUCUGAUUAGCUUGUUGGCGGGGUAACGGCCCACCAAGGCGACGAUCAGUAGGGGUUCUGAGAGGAAGGUCCCCACAUUGGAACUGAGACACGGUCCAAACUCCUACGGGAGGCAGCAGUGAGGAAUAUUGGUCAAUGGGCGAGAGCCUGAACCAGCCAAGUAGCGUGCAGGAUGACGGCCCUAUGGGUUGUAAACUGCUUUUAUAGGGGAAUAAAGUGAGCCACGUGUGGUUUUUUGCAUGUACCCUAUGAAUAAGGACCGGCUAAUUCCGUGCCAGCCGCCGCUGUAACAC